CCUACGGGAGGCAGCAGUGAGGAAUAUUGGUCAAUGGACGAGAGUCUGAACCAGCCAAGUAGCGUGAAGGAUUACUGCCCUAUGGGUUGUAAACUUCUUUUAUAUGGGAGUAAAAUGUUCCACGUGUGGGAUUUUGUAUGUACCAUAUGAAUAAGGAUCGGCUAACUCCGUGCCAGCAGCCGCGGUAAUACGGAGGAUCCGAGCGUUAUCCGGAUUUAUUGGGGUUAAAGGGAGCGUAGGUGGUUUGUUAAGUCAGUUGUGAAAGUUUGCGGGUCAACCGUAAAAUUGCAGUUGAAACUGGCAGUCUUGAGUACAGUAGAGGUAGGCGGAAUGCGUGGUGUAGCGGUGAAAUGCUUAGAUAUCACGAAGAACUCCGAUUGCGAAGGCAGCUCACUGGACUGCAACUGACACUGAGGCUCGAAAGUGUGGGGAUCAAACAGGAUUAGAUACCCCUGUAGUC
rnacentral:rRNA from 1 species